rnacentral:rRNA from 1 species
UACGUAGGGGGCAAGCGUUGUCCGGAAUCAUUGGGCGUAAAGCGCGUGUAGGCGGUUCGGUAAGUCGGCUGUGAAAGUCCAGGGCUCAACCCUGGGAUGCCGGUCGAUACUGCCGGACUAGAGUUCGGAAGAGGCGAGUGGAAUUCCCGGUGUAGCGGUGAAAUGCGCAGAUAUCGGGAGGAACACCUAUGGCGAAGGCAGCUCGCUGGGACGUUACUGACGCUGAGACGCGAAAGCGUGGGGAGCGAACAGG